GUGCUCACUUCAGCAGCACAUAUACUAAAAUUGGAACAAUACAGAGAAGGUUAGCAUGGCCCCUGCGCAAGGAUGACACAAAUUCGUGAAGUGCUCCAUAUUUUU
ensembl:snRNA U6 U6 spliceosomal RNA